rnacentral:rRNA from 1 species
AAAUUGAAGAGUUUGAUCAUGGCUCAGAUUGAACGCUGGCGGCAGGCCUAACACAUGCAAGUCGAACGGUAACAGGAAGCAGCUUGCUGCUUUGCUGACGAGUGGCGGACGGGUGAGUAAUGUCUGGGAAACUGCCUGAUGGAGGGGGAUAACUACUGGAAACGGUGGCUAAUACCGCAUAACGUCGCAAGACCAAAGAGGGGGACCUUCGGGCCUCUUGCCAUCAGAUGUGCCCAGAUGGGAUUAGCUAGUUGGUGAGGUAACGGCUCACCAAGGCGACGAUCCCUAGCUGGUCUGAGAGGAUGACCAGCCACACUGGAACUGAGACACGGUCCAGACUCCUACGGGAGGCAGCAGUGGGGAAUAUUGCACAAUGGGGGCAAGCCUGAUGCAGCCAUGCCGCGUGUAUGAAGAAGGCCUUAGGGUUGUAAAGUACUUUCAGCGGGGAGGAAGGUGUUG